AAGGCAGAGGAAUCCGCCCCACCAACUCAUGUGGCGGAGGAAACUGUGCCUGAAACAACACCAGCACCAGCAGAAGAAACUGCUCCAGUUGAAGAGAAAGCAGCCCCUGCUGUUGAGGAAACACCUGUAGCUGAAGAAGCAACGACAGAAGCAGAAACAGAAGCUCCAGUAGCAGAGGAGACGGUGGCUGAAGAAGAUACAAAAGCAGAAACAGAAACACCUGUAGCUGAGGAAACAGUAGCUGCUGCUGAAGUUGAAACUCCAGCAGUAGAAUUAGCUGAAGUGAAGACUGAGGUAGAAGAAGGAAAAGAUGUUGAAAC
rnacentral:lncRNA from 1 species